rnacentral:rRNA from 1 species
UACGUAGGGUGCAAGCGUUGUCCGGAAUUAUUGGGCGUAAAGAGCUCGUAGGCGGUCUGUCACGUCGGCUGUGAAAUCCCGAGGCUCAACCUCGGGUCUGCAGUCGAUACGGGCAAACUAGAGUAUUGCAGGGGAGACUGGAAUUCCUGGUGUAGCGGUGAAAUGCGCAGAUAUCGGGAAGAACACCCGUGGCGAAGGCGGCUCUCUGGGACGGUACUGACGCUGAGACGCGAAAGCGUGGGGAGCGAACAGG